rnacentral:pre_miRNA from 1 species
AGUGGGAUAGCUGGGUCAAUUGGUGGUUUCAUUCCAAGUUUUCUGAGGACUCUCCAUACCGUUUUCCAUAACAGUUGCACCAAAUUGCAGUCCCACCAGCUAU